UACGAGUGCCUCAAGCGUUAUCCGGAAUCAUUGGGCGUAAAGGAUGUGUAGGUGGUAGUGUUAGUCUUCUGUUAAAUUCUUCGGCUUAACCGGGGGCAUGCAGAGGAAACGGCACAACUAGAGGAUGCGAGGGGUUUCUGGAACUCAUAGUGUAGCGGUGAAAUGCGUUGAUAUUAUGGGGAACACCAAAAGCGAAGGCAAGAAACUGGAGCACUCCUGACACUGAAACAUGAAAGCGUGGGUCGCGAAUGGG
rnacentral:rRNA from 1 species